rnacentral:rRNA from 1 species
GAUGAACGCUGGCGGUGUGCCUAAUACAUGCAAGUCGAACGAAGUCUUCGGACUUAGUGGCGAACGGGUGAGUAACACGUUGGUACCUACCCUCUAGUGGGGAAUAACUGCCCGAAAGGGUGGCUAAUACCGCAUAAUACCGCAAGGUUAAAGCAGUAAUGCGCUAGAGGAGGGGCCUGCGUCUGAUUAGCUAGUUGGUGAGGUAAUAGCUCACCAAGGCUACGAUCAGUAGCNGGAUCGAGAGGUUGACCAGCCACACUGGGACUGAGAUACGGCCCAGACUCCUACGGGAGGCAGCAGUAAGGAAUCUUCCACAAUGGACGAAAGUCUGAUGGAGCAACACCGCGUGCAGGAUGACGGUCUUCGGAUUGUAAACUGCUUUUGCUGAUGAACAAUUUUUGAGCGUAGUCAGCGAAUAAGAGGUUGCUAACUCUGUGCCA